AACUAACGCUGGCGGCGCGUCUUAAACAUGCAAGUCGAGCGGGGUAGCAAUAACCUAGCGGCGAACGGGUGAGUAACACGUGGGUAAUCUUCCUCCGAGUCUGGGAUAACUUUCCGAAAGGAAAGCUGAUACCGGAUAGUCCUACUGGAUCACAGGAUCUGAUAGGUAAAGAUUUAUUGCUUGGAGAUGAGCCCGCGGCCGAUUAGCUAGUUGGUGAGGUAAUGGCUCACCAAGGCGACGAUCGGUAGCCGGCCUGAGAGGGUGUCCGGCCACAAUGGAACUGAGACACGGUCCAU
rnacentral:rRNA from 1 species